rnacentral:rRNA from 1 species
UACGUAGGGUGCAAGCGUUGUCCGGAAUUAUUGGGCGUAAAGAGCUCGUAGGCGGUCUGUCGCGUCUGCUGUGAAAAUCCAGGGCUUAACCCUGGACCUGCAGUGGGUACGGGCAGACUAGAGUGCGGUAGGGGGGAUCGGAAUUCCUGGUGUAGCGGUGAAAUGCGCAGAUAUCAGGAGGAACACCGGUGGCGAAGGCGGGUCUCUGGGCCGAUACUGACGCUGAGGAGCGAAAGCGUGGGGAGCGAACAGG